rnacentral:misc_RNA from 1 species
GGCUACUGGUCCCACACGUUCAAUGACUUCAUAUAGGCUAAUGAACCUAGGGCUUAACUUACCCUUUCUUCCAAACCUCAGUACUUUCUUCCACGGUGAGACUUUGAGAAACACUUUAUCGCCAACUGCAUACUCUAUCUCUUUUCUCUUCAAGUCAGCAUAUGAUUUCUGUCUUUCUGAGGCAACCUUCAGGUUAGCUUUGAUUAUCUUCACUUUCUCCUCAGUCUGUUUC